CCUGGGACAAUUCCAGGAAUGAUGAAAUCUGAGUUGAUGGAGGCGUCAUUCUGGGAGACAAACAAGCACUGAAUUCAGCCGUAUGAAGUGGAAAUCCACCAACUUCACUCUUGCAGAUACAGACACACAUCAUCUUCCUUUCCAAAUGCAAACAAAUGGACAUAAUACCAAAGAACUGAAGGUAAAGAAUCCAUUACAAUCAACAUAUCACACAGACUAUGGUGAGAGAUUGUGCCACACUCUCAAAGAAACUGCGGAACCACCUGAUCAACAUCCUAUACAGCAAACAAGAGAGGAUCAAGAAUGAACUCUUAUCUCCUUAGACUGACCUCACACUUGGUAAAGCAACCCCUAUCCUUUCAUAUAUUUAUACCUGCUCCUGUAUUUUUCCCUUCAUGCAUCUGACGAAGUGGGCUCUAGCCCACAAAAGCUUAAGCCCAAAUAAAUGUAUUAGUCUCUAA